rnacentral:rRNA from 1 species
GACGAACGCUGGCGGCGUGCUUAACACAUGCAAGUCGAACGGACAGGCCCUGCUUUUGUUGCUUUCUCGAGUGGCGAACGGGUGUGUAACACGUGUGUAACCUGCCCUUGACUUUGUGAUAACUUCUGGAAACUGCGGCUCAUACCGCAUAUGAUCUCCUGCUGCAUGUUGUUGGUUGGAAAGUUUCGGCUGUUGUGUCUGUUAUCGCUGCUUAUCAGCUUGUUUGUCUGGUAGUUGCUUACCAAGGCUUUGACGGGUAGCCGGCCUGAGAGGGUUGACGGCGACAAUGGGACUGAGAUACGGCCCAGAAUCGUACGGGAGGCAGCAGUGGGGAAUAUGGCACAAUGGGCGGAAGCCUGAUGCAGAAACGCCGCGUGCGGGAAGACGGCUUUCGGGUUGUAAACAGAUUUGGCAUGUGACGAAGAGUGAGUGACGGUAAUGGGUAAAGAAGCACCGGCUAACUACGUG